rnacentral:rRNA from 1 species
AACGCGAAGAACCUUACCUGGGCUCGAAAUGUAGUGGAAUCGGGUGGAAACAUCCGCGUCUCGCAAGAGACUGCUAUAUAGGUGCUGCAUGGCUGUCGUCAGCUCGUGUCGUGAGAUGUUGGGUUAAGUCCCGCAACGAGCGCAACCCUUAUUGCCAGUUGCCACCGGGUUAUGCCGAGCACUCUGGCGAAACCGCACAGGAUAACUGUGAGGAAGGUGGGGAUGACGUCAAGUCCUCAUGGCCUUUAUGUCCAGGGCUACACACGUGCUACAAUGGUCGGUACAAACCGUCGCAAACCCGCGAGGGGGAGCUAAUCGGAAAAAGCCGGCCUCAGUUCGGAUUGGAGUCUGCAACCCGACUCCAUGAAGCUGGAAUCGCUAGUAAUCGCGGAUCAGAACGCCGCGGUGAAUACGUUCCCGGGCCUUGUACACACCGGCUAC